AUUGAACGCUGGCGGCAGGCCUAACACAUGCAAGUCGAGCGGAUGAAGGGAGCUUGCUCCUGGAUUCAGCGGCGGACGGGUGAGUAAUGCCUAGGAAUCUGCCUGGUAGUGGGGGAUAACGUCCGGAAACGGGCGCUAAUACCGCAUACGUCCUGAGGGAGAAAGUGGGGGAUCUUCGGACCUCACGCUAUCAGAUGAGCCUAGGUCGGAUUAGCUAGUUGGUGGGGUAAAGGCCUACCAAGGCGACGAUCCGUAACUGGUCUGAGAGGAUGAUCAGUCACACUGGAACUGAGACACGGUCCAGGCUCCUACGGGAGGCAGCAGUGGGGAAUAGUGGACAAUGGGCGAAAGCCUGAUCCAGCCAUGCCGCGUGUGUUAAGAAGGUCUUCGGAUUGUAAAGCACUUUAAGUUGGGGGGAAGGGCAGUAAGUUAAUACCUUGCUGUUUUGACGUUACCAGCAGAAUAAGCACCGGCUAACUUCGUG
rnacentral:rRNA from 1 species